rnacentral:lncRNA from 7 species
GUUUGCAGGCCAGAGCAAGGAGGAGUGCUGCUUCUGGGCUGUAUGCCUUAAGGAAUAGGAUGAAGUCCUGUCUUCCCAACAAAGGACAGAAGAACGUUUCAGAUUUGUGAUGGGUGGACACAGAAAGAAGCCUGGACCACUUCAGAACUCAGGACAUUGGCCAAUGGAACUGCAGCUGAACAGAAGCUUCCAAGUCACGCAUUUCCCCCCCCUUUCCCCCCCCAAGGUUUCAUAAGCAAAAUGCCCUGAAAGGCUGAUGAAAGUGUUAGGCAAACCCAGCCAGAAUGGGCAUUGUGUGGCCAGAUGACAAAAACAGGAGUUGACACUUUCCAACAUUCUCAACAGUGAGAAUUUGUUUUAAUGUAAUUAGUCGGUAUAAAAAAGAACAGAAAAUCCCUCUGGAGCCAAAGCCCUGUGACUAUUUGCUGCACCUUUAGAUUGAGCCAAUACAUCUUUGCUGCAUUUAACUACAAGGGAGGAAAAGAGAUCUCUCUCAUUUCCUUGAGGAGAAGUGAAAGCUGGUAGCUGAUGGGGAAUAUGUGGAGGGUCCCACUGCUAACAACUGCUGUCUCUCUCUCUCUCUGGGUCCAUGAGUGAGUCUCCCGGAUCUCAAUAUCUGAGCUUAGCAGACCAUCAAGCAUGCAGCCUUAAAAUUCACAAGGCAAGCUGUCAUGUUUCAAUAGUGUCUGUCAAGGAGCUUUUGGGUCCCAAGCAUGAAGUGUCCCAGAUGAAUGCGAACUGCGGUUGUCACCAAGCCCAGCUCCAUGGGGGGACCUGCAGCUCUGACAAGAUUUGCUCCAUGCUGGCUUCACAGAGGCUUCACUGUGCUUGCAGCCACUCUAUCCAAGUUGAUCUUUUGAUUUUGGAGGCCAGAUCUUCCUCAUUUUUUCCCCUUCUCCUAUUCAUUUUCCAGCCAACCCUACUGAGAGAACAAAUUUCUUGUGACCAC